GCGAGUGAAGCGGCAACAGCUCAAAUUUGAAAUCUGGCCCUCCUUGGGGGUCCGAGUUGUAAUUUGCAGAGGGUGCUUUGGCGUCGGCAGCGGUCUAAGUUCCUUGGAACAGGACAUCACAGAGGGUGAGAAUCCCGUACGUGGUCGCCUGCCUUCGCCGUGUAAAGCCCCUUCGACGAGUCGAGUUGUUUGGGAAUGCAGCUCUAAAUGGGAGGUAAAUUUCUUCUAAAGCUAAAUACUGGCCAGAGACCGAUAGCGCACAAGUAGAGUGAUCGAAAGAUGAAAAGCACUUUGGAAAGAGAGUCAAACAGCACGUGAAAUUGUUGAAAGGGAAGCGCUUGCAGCCAGACUUGCCCGCAGUUGCUCACCCGGGUCCGCCCGGGGCACUCUUCUGCGGGCAGGCCAGCAUCAGUUUGGGCGACCGGAUAAAGGCCUCUGUCAUGUAUCUUCCUUCGGGAUGACCUUAUAGGGGAGGCGUAAUGCGGCCAGCCCGGACUGAGGUCCGCGCAUCUGCUAGGAUGCUGGCGUAAUGGCUGUAAGCGGCCCGUCUUGAAACACGGACCAAGGAGUCUAACAUCUAUGCGAGUGUUUGGGUGUCAAGCCCGGGCGCGUAAUGAAAGUGAACGGAGGUGG
rnacentral:rRNA from 1 species